rnacentral:lncRNA from 1 species
CACUUCUGGUGGCUGCCACUCACCUGGGGAUAGUCGGUACCAAGAACUGGAAGUAGCCCUGAACUCAAGCUCCGCAAUAAUCAAUCAACUAAAUGAAAACAUAGAAUCAUUGAAACAGCAGAAGAAACAAGUGGAACAUCAGCUGGAAGAAGAAAAGAAAGCAAAUAAGGAAAUACACAAAGCACAAACGGAGCAGUUAGAGACAAUCAACAUCCUCACGUUGGAAAAGGCAGACUUGAAGACCACCCUUUACCAUACUAAACGUGCUGCCCGACACUUCGAAGAAGAGUCCAAGGAUCUGGCUGGCUGCCUGCAAUACUCCUUACAGCAUAUUCAAGAAUCGGAGCGGGCUCUCUGUGCUGUGUCUACACAGCAGCAGGAAGAGGACAGGUCCUCGAGCUGCAGUGAAGCGGUCCUCCAGCGGCGGUUACAGCAGACCAUAAAGGAGCAGGCACUGCUGAACGCACACGUGACACAGGUGACAGAGUCACUAAAACAAGUCCAGCUAGAGCAGGACGAAUAUGCUAAACACAUAAAAGGAGAGAGGGCCCGGCAGCAGGAGAGGAUGUGGAAAA